rnacentral:rRNA from 1 species
AUGGCUCAGGACGAACGCUGGCGGCGUGCUUAACACAUGCAAGUCGAACGAUGAAGCCCUUCGGGGUGGAUUAGUGGCGAACGGGUGAGUAACACGUGGGCAAUCUGCCCUUCACUCUGGGACAAGCCCUGGAAACGGGGUCUAAUACCGGAUAACACUCUGUCCCGCAUGGGACGGGGUUAAAAGCUCCGGCGGUGAAGGAUGAGCCCGCGGCCUAUCAGCUUGUUGGUGGGGUAAUGGCCUACCAAGGCGACGACGGGUAGCCGGCCUGAGAGGGCGACCGGCCACACUGGGACUGAGACACGGCCCAGACUCCUACGGGAGGCAGCAGUGGGGAAUAUUGCACAAUGGGCGAAAGCCUGAUGCAGCGACGCCGCGUGAGGGAUGACGGCCUUCGGGUUGUAAACCUCUUUCAGCAGGGAAGAAGCGAAAGUGACGGUACCUGCAGAAGAAGCGCCGGCUAACUACGUGCCAGCAGCCGCGGUAAUACGUAGGGCGCAAGCGUUGUCCGGAAUUAUUGGGCGUAAAGAGCUCGUAGGCGGCUUGUCACGUCGGAUGUGAAAGCCCGGGGCUUAACCCCGGGUCUGCAUUCGAUACGGGCUAGCUAGAGUGUGGUAGGGGAGAUCGGAAUUCCUGGUGUAGCGGUGAAAUGCGCAGAUAUCAGGAGGAACACCGGUGGCGAAGGCGGAUCUCUGGGCCAUUACUGACGCUGAGGAGCGAAAGCGUGGGGAGCGAACAGGAUUAGAUACCCUGGUAGUCCACGCCGUAAACGUUGGGAACUAGGUGUUGGCGACAUUCCACGUCGUCGGUGC